CUUUUGCGGCUGUAUCAAAGGGUAUCAGAGUAAAGAUGGACCAUAGAAUAAAUGAAAGAUAAAACAAACGCAUGCUACUAGUUCAUCUUCACAGUCCUCUAAUGUAUGUGGCGCUACAAAGGCGAUGCGGAUGUGGAAUGUGCGUUCUGGGGAAGGGGCGUCGGGGCGACGUUUGGGUUCUGAAGGCGGCGAGAGUGACCGCUUUAAUGAGGCUCCAGCAGAGGUUCCUUGGGGUGAUGGUGAUGGAAUGUGUUUUGGGGGCCAGCAGCCUUUCCCUUUCCAACCUGCAUGCAAAAUCAUCCCAACGGGGAAUCUCUGGCUCCUGUUUGCGUCACCAACAGAGAACCGAGACUACCAUGGUAACAAUGUGGCGCUUGGCAAAUCAAAACAAGAGCAAGCCCACAGCAGGCCGUCCCAGCGGCCGCCGCGGCAGUCGGCUCGGCAGCCGUUCGGCGCGCUCGGGCCUGCGCUCCGCCUCCGUUCCCGCCCGGUCCUGCCGAGCUCCUUCCCUUCCCCGUCCCCAACCUCGGCGGCUUCUCACGACACGCAACCUGCCGUCGCACGUGCCAAAGCGCGGUUGGCACCCCGCGACGGAGCCUCGCGAUUCUGCCAAGCCGUCAUCUCCUUGCGAUGCCAACGAUUUUGGAAACAACACCAUGAAACUGGCGUGCUGUUUGACGAACAAUAUUGCCUGC